rnacentral:rRNA from 1 species
AACGUAGGGUGCAAGCGUUGUCCGGAAUUACUGGGUGUAAAGGGAGCGCAGGCGGACCGGCAAGUUGGAAGUGAAAUCCAUGGGCUCAACCCGUGAAUUGCUUUCAAAACUGCUGGCCUUGAGUAGUGCAGAGGUAGGUGGAAUUCCCGGUGUAGCGGUGGAAUGCGUAGAUAUCGGGAGGAACACCAGUGGCGAAGGCGACCUACUGGGCACCAACUGACGCUGAGGCUCGAAAGCAUGGGUAGCAAAC